CCUACGUGCGGCAGCAGUGAGGAAUAUUGGUCAAUGGCCGAGAGGCUGAACCAGCCAAGUCGCGUGAGGGAAGACGGCGCUACGGGUUGUAAACUUCUUUUGUCAAGGGACAAAAUCAGGCUCGAGAGCCUGACCGAGGGUACUUGAAGAAAAAGCAUCGGCUAACUCCGUGCCAGCAGCCGCGGUAAUACGGAGGAUGCGAGCGUUAUCCGGAUUUAUUGGGUUUAAAGGGUGCGUAGGCGGACUGUUAAGUCAGCGGUAAAAGCCCGGGGCUCAACCCCGGCGAGCCGUUGAAACUGGCUGUCUUGAGAUGUCGAGAGGUAUGCGGAAUGCGCAGUGUAGCGGUGAAAUGCUUAGAUAUUGCGCAGAACUCCGAUUGCGAAGGCAGCAUACCGGCGGCGAUCUGACGCUGAGGCACGAAAGCGUGGGUAUCGAACAGGAUUAGAUACCCGUGUAGUC
rnacentral:rRNA from 1 species